rnacentral:tRNA from 1 species
GAUGUCGUAGGUUCAAAUCCUACAGAGCGUG